UACGAACUGCGCGAACGUUAUUCGGAAUCACUGGGCUUACAGGGUGCGUAGGCGGCCAGCCAGGUCCGAUGUGAAAUCCCACAGCUCAACUGUGGAAUGGCAUUGGAAACCGGUUGGCUUGAGUGAGCUAGAGGUGCACGGAACUUCCGGUGGAGCGGUGAAAUGUGCUGAGAUCGGAAGGAACACCAGAAGCGAAGGCGGUGCACUGGGGCUUGUCUGACGCUGAGGCACGAAAGCCAGGGGAGCGAACGGG
rnacentral:misc_RNA from 1 species